rnacentral:rRNA from 1 species
CGACCUCGGAUCAGGCGUGAUUACCCGCUGAACUUAAGCAUAUCACUAAGCGGAGGAAAAGAAACCU